rnacentral:rRNA from 1 species
GGAUUAGAUACCCUGGUAGUCCACGCCGUAAACGAUGUCUACUAGUUGUCGGUUGUCUUGUACGACGGGUAACGCAGCUAACGCGAUAAGUAGACCGCCUGGGGAGUACGGCCGCAAGGUUAAAACUCAAAUGAAUUGACGGGGGCCCGCACAAGCGGUGGAGCAUGUGGUUUAAUUCGAAGCAACGCGAAGAACCUUACCUGGCCUUGACAUCCUGCGAAUCUUUUGGAGACAAGAGAGUGCCUUCGGGAACGCAGAGACAGGUGCUGCAUGGCUGUCGUCAGCUCGUGCCG